AUGGAGGCGAGCUCGGCUGCGUCGCCGGACCUCUCGCUGCACAUCAGCCUGCCCAGCACUGGGCCGCCGACGGGCCCGGGGGGCGGCGGAGGCGGGCGCGGGCCUGUGGGCGGCGGAGGCGGGGAUCCCUGGAGGAGGCUGAACGGGUCCACGGCGUCCACGGAGCUGUCCUUGUCUCCGCCCCUCCUGGCCGCCGACCAGGAGGGCGCCGCGCUGCCGUGGCGGCACAGGCCUUCGUCGUCGGCUGCGGCGUCCUCGGCCGCCACCACGUCCGCCCAGGCCGCGCUCAUGACCAUGCCGAUGCUGCAGCCGCUGGACGCGGGUGUCGGCGGCGCGUCGGCGGCGCCGCCAAUCCGGGGGAUACCUAUCUACAACGGCGCCGGGGGCUUCCCGUUCCUGCCGCCGGCGCCUGGGGGAGGAGAAGGGCACCACCUCCCGAAGGUCGGUUUCUACGGCUACCACCAUCCGGCGGCGUGGCCCUCCUCCCUGGGAUCGACGUCGCCGUCCUCUCUCGGGCCGGGGCCGGCGCCACCCGCGAAUUCCUUCGACCCCACGGCGGCGUUCCUGUCCUCAGCCGCGCACCAUCGGAUGCUGUCGGCCUCCGGAAGACUAAACGGCAUGCUCUCCGACACCCUGCGCAGCUACGGCGCCCCCGGCGGCGGCGUCGGCAUGGGUCUCGGCGGACACCAUCAUCAUCUCCACGGCGCGCAGCCCUUCGGGCUGGGGUCCCGGUUCAUGCCCAAGCUCCCCGCCAAGCGCAGCAUGCGCGCGCCCCGCAUGCGCUGGACCAGCACCCUCCAUGCCCGCUUCGUGCACGCCGUGGAGCUCCUCGGCGGCCACGAGAGGGCGACGCCCAAGUCAGUCCUAGAGCUCAUGGACGUGAAGGAUCUGACGCUAGCGCAUGUGAAGAGCCAUCUCCAGAUGUAUCGAACCGUCAAGAGCACGGACAAGCCGGCGGCCUCAGGCCCGACCGACGGCGGCUCCGGCGACGACGACUUCCCCAGCGCCGGUGGCCAGGCCGGCUCCGGCGGCGACAACAACAUGUGCCCGAGGCCGUUCCCGGAGCACCGGUCCACCUCCGAGGGCGCGGCGAGCUCCGUCGGCGGCGACAUGGACCAGUCCUCGGCAGGGAACGCCAGCACCAGGUGGAGCAACUCCUCAAGGGACCCAUGGGUGUCAUCUAAUUCUUGCAACAUGGAUGCUCAUCGCUCCAUUGGACUGUCUUCUCCAAUGGAGAACAUGGAGCCCUGCAGAUCAACCGGCUCGCAGGUGUCGAACCACGAGCUGAGCAGCCCGAGCCUGGAGUUCACGCUGGGGAGACCGGACUGGCAUGGCGCGGAUCAUGACUAG
rnacentral:rRNA from 1 species